CCUACGGGUGGCAGCAGUGAGGAAUAUUGGUCAAUGGACGAGAGUCUGAACCAGCCAAGUAGCGUGAAGGAUGACUGCCCUAUGGGUUGUAAACUUCUUUUAUAUGGGAAUAAAAUGUUCCACGUGUGGGAUUUUGUAUGUACCAUAUGAAUAAGGAUGGGCUAACUCCGUGCCAGCAGCCGCGGUAAUACGGAGGAUCCGAGCGUUAUCCGGAUUUAUUGGGUUUAAAGGGAGCGUAGGUGGAUUGUUAAGUCAGUUGUGAAAGUUUACGGCUCAACCGUAAAAUUGCAGUUGAAACUGGCAGUCUUGAGUACAGUAGAGGUGGGCGGAAUUCGUGGUGUAGCGGUGAAAUGCUUAGAUAUCACGAAGAACUCCGAUUGCGAAGGCAGUUCACUGGACUGCAACUGACACUGAGGCUCGAAAGUGUGGGUAUCAAACAGGAUUAGAUACCCUUGUAGUC
rnacentral:rRNA from 1 species